GAAGAAGAACAUGUUAAUUAAUCAAAUAUAAUCAAAGGGUAUCUUGAAGAGCUUUUGAGAGAUGUAAUCUAAGAAGCUUUUGCUCUGGGAAAACGAGAUUAUACAUUAAAUUAGAAAUAUAUUAAAGAAAAUCAACAGUUGAUUCAAGAAACUUGCUUCGUGCAUCCUACGAACACUUGGUAUCCAUUUUACCCACCGCUAACAAAUAUUAUUCUCUCGAGGUUUUUAAAACUUUUCUAGGUUUAGGUUUUCACGCCCUUAAAGAAGGCUUCAUUCUCAUCCCCAACCUUGAUAGGGAGAGGUUUCCACACCUUAAUGUUUCGGUUCUCAUCCCAACCCAACCGAUGUGGGAUCCAAUACUUUGUCUGAGAUUAGUUCUUGGCCAGAACUAUUAUAGUGUUCAACCUAUGCCUCCCUCAACUCAGAUUGCAACAUCCUAACCAAGCCUUUAUCCUCUUUGGAUUUAGUUGAGAUUGCUUAGAUAACUAACUGUUAGAACUGGAAAAUUGUGAGAAUUCAUGCCUACAUAAUUGUACUCGAUCAGAAUAAUUCAACGAACAACAUUUAAGAAUUUUCCCUUCCCUUGUUAUCUUUUGAGUUUUAGAGCCUUCCAAAGGCCUACAAAAAAUGAGAUUACUCAAAUCCCAUAAAUGAUGGAGCUACUAAAAUCAACAACAGAACAUCCUGUGGCAGAAAUCCAAUCAAAAUCCUAGCAACCAAAUACACACUACUAACUGCUGAAAGGAACCUCAAUUCUUAGUAUGAGUGAGUUUUCUAUUGAUCUGCUUCUUUUUGGUUGGUUGUACAAGUACUUAUUUUGAUUUGAGGUUGCAACACAAGUCUUCAAUAGACUUCAGAAAGGCUUGGAAAAGGAUUUUACGAUUACCGUGGGAACCCUCAAACAGCAUUUAACAAAUAAGGAACAAGAUCCCCAAUCUCUCCUUACACCUACUGCAUAUUCUUAACCCUAUCGUAGUGCAAAUUGAGCACUCUCUUUCUCUUUUGUUAAGCUAUAAGGUACAUACAAUCCUACGAUCAAAUUCUAGAUUGUUUGACUAAACCUCUACCUGCCUAUAAAUCCAACUUCUUCAACGAAAAUAUAAUCUGAAUGGCGCUCAAUCGUGGCGUCUGACACAUAAAACAUUCAAUCGAAGCUAACUGAUACAUAUAUAUGAUCGAAGUUACCGGUUUCAACGAGUUUGAGAAAUUAAAAAACGGAUGAGCAGAACGAAAACCUCAUGUAGGCAGAUAUAUGAUAAUUUGAGAAAUUAAAUUGUAUUUCAAAUAAAUGAAGAAUGAUGCA